AACGAAUUUGAAUGAGGAGUCUCAGCGCUUUCGGCGCCAUUUUCGAGUGAUGCCUGAUCUCAUCAAUCUAGCGGGAGGGAAGGGAUAACCUGUCCGAGCGUAGCGCGACGCUAGGAUCGCGCCGGAAAACCCCCCAAAAAAUCAUCAAAAAAUUUAACUUAGACCAAAGGGCAGUCGGCGGGGCUUCGCCAGAUGCGGCGCAGUCGGUAAGAGCCUCAAGUAGCGAAGAGGGUCUCGGGAGGCGGCCGCGAUGGGACCGGAGGACCGUGAGGGGAACAGGGACGGGGCUCGGGGGUCUGCCCUCACUUUGGCGGCAGAAGCUUCCCCCGGGGGAUCCGGCCGCUAUUCUAACUGUUAGAAGAGUACCAAUUCUGGAAAACAACCAAAGUUUCUUUGAAUGAAUGCCCACGUAAUGCAUUGGAAUAUAAUAAGAGAUUAAGGUUUAACAAUGUUAAAAUGAAGAUAUUACUAAAAUGGCCCUCUAAAUAGCCCAACAAUUAUUAUUUUACACCGACUGACAUUUACCAACUGUGUCAAAGCUACAUGAGCUAGGUAGAUACUGCUGGAACUUUAACAGGCAUCAAGCAAGUCUAUAGAAGCACUGAGCUGUGCCACUACCCAGUGUUCUUCCAGA
rnacentral:lncRNA from 1 species